AUUGAACGCUGGCGGCAGGCCUAACACAUGCAAGUCGAACGAGUGGCGGACGGGUGAGUAAUGUCUGGGAAACUGCCUGCUGGAGGGGGAUAACUACUGGAAACGGUAGCUAAUACCGCAUACCAUCGGAUGUGCCCAGAUGGGAUUAGCUAGUAGGUGGGGUCAAGACUAACCUAGGCGACGAUCCCUAGCGGGUCUUAGAGGAUGACCAGCGACACUGGAACUGAGACACGGUCCAGACGCCUACGGGAGGCAGCAGGGGGGAAGAGUGCACAAUGGGCGCAAGCCUGAUGCAGCCAUGCCGCGUGUAUGAAGAAGGCCUUCGGGUUGUAAAGUACUGUCAGCGGGGAGGCGUUACCCGCAGAAGAAGCACCGGCUAACUCCGUGCCAGCAGCCGCGGUAAUAC
rnacentral:rRNA from 1 species